rnacentral:rRNA from 1 species
CACGUAGGGACCAAGCGUUGUCCGGAAUCAUUGGGCGUAAAGGGCGCGUAGGCGGCUUGUCAAGUCACUUGUGAAAUCUCUGGGCUUAACCCAGAACGGCCAAGUGAAACUGUCAUGCUAGAGUGCAGAAGGGGCAAUCGGAAUUCUUGGUGUAGCGGUGAAAUGCGUAGAUAUCAAGAGGAACACCUGAGGUGAAGACGGGUUGCUGGGCUGACACUGACGCUGAGGCGCGAAAGCCAGGGGAGCAAACGGG